rnacentral:ncRNA from 2 species
CGACCUGUUUAGGGGUGCUGGCUCGGAGAUAAUCCUGGCCGGCUGAGAUUACACCCAUUGAACCGGAACCGGAUAAUGCCGGCGUCGGGAAAAACAAUCCGCGAACGU